ACUUAUUUUGUUUUUGUUUCAGAUACCAGCCCCAGGAUAUUUACGUCAGGACAGGUAACAUAUGCAUCGGAAAGUAAGUAUAUUUUUUUUUAUUUAUUAAUAGUUGUCUAAUAGAUAUUAAAAUAAUUUGAAUAUGUAUUACAGAUAGACGGGAGCCAACAGAGAAGAAGAAGACAGUACAGUCCUAGACAUGGAGAUGAUUAAAUUGUAGAUGCCAAGAUGAUGAUAUACCAGCCCCAGGAUAUUUACGUCAGGACAGGUAACAUAUGCAUCGGAAAGUAAGUAUAUUUUUUUUUAUUUAUUAAUAGUUGUCUAAUAGAUAUUAAAAUAAUUUGAAUAUGUAUUACAGAUAGAUGGGAGCCAACAGAGAAGAAGAAGACAGUACAGUCAUAGACAUGGAGAUGAUUAAAUUGUAGAUGCCAAGAUGAUGAUAUACCAGCCCCAGGAUAUUUACGUCAGGACAGGUAACAUAUGCAUCGGAAAGUAAGUAUAUUUUUUUUUAUUUAUUAAUAGUUGUCUAAUAGAUAUUAAAAUAAUUUGAAUAUGUAUUACAGAUAGACGGGAGCCAACAGAGAAGAAGAAGACAGUACAGUCCUAGACAUGGAGAUGAUUAAAUUGUAGAUGCCAAGAUGAUGAUAUUCCAGGAGCAGGUAAUUUACAUCAUACCAGGCUGUCCCGUGGACGUGUUUAUAUUACAGACGGAUGAAGCCCAGAGGAACAUUACAGACGGAUGGAGCCCAGAGGAACAUACAGUCCUAGACCUGAAGUUGCCAGAUAAUGAUGAUGAAGGUUAUUACAGCAACUGUUUUCAUGGAUGGGGAGUAAAACUGGGUGGUCUAAUACUUUUCAUAAAUUAACAAAAUAACAACACGACUGGUGGAUUCAAUUCUAGGAACCAGUGAAGGAAUUAAAAGUGAAGACUUGCGACGGAAAAUCCAGGAAACAGGUCUUUUACUGAACAGUAUGAGAGAGCCAAGAUGAUUGUUGGAUUUAAACUACUUGGAAAAUACCACAAAAUGAAGACAAAAAAUGCACUGCAUCAACAAACAAAUCAACUACUGGAAUGUCAGGGCAUCAGUACCUAGUUCUGAUUCUAAAAACAAUUGUUCAAAAUAAAUGGAGAAUGUGAUAAAGGUGAUGACCCUGCUUGCAUAUAACAUUAUAAAGGGACAAACAGUAAAAUUGAUGCCAUUUAAAUUCAAAGCUGAACAGUGUUUUGUGAUGAAGAUUUGGAUCAUUUUGGCUUGAAAGAUUGUCAGGAACAUGAAAAAACUGAAUCCAUUAUGAACAUAUGUACACAAACAGACAAAAUAACAACAACACUGGUUGAUACAAUUCUAGGAACUGGUGAAGAAGUUAAGUUUUACAAAAUACAGAAGACUUGCAACGGAAAAUCCAGGAAACAGGUCAUUUACUGAACAGUAUGAGAGAGCCAAGAUGAUUGUUGGAUUUAAACUGCUUGAAAAAUACAACCAAAUGAAGACAAAAAAUGCAUCAACAAACAAAUCAACUAAUGGAACGUUUGGGCAUCAGUACCUAGUUCUGACUCGUAAAGCAAUUGUUCAAAACAAAUGGAGAAUGUGAAACAGAUGAUGACCCUGCUUGCAUAUAUUAACAUUAUAAAGGGACAAACAGUUAAUUGAUGCAAUUUAAAUUCAAAGCUGAACAGUGUUUUGUGAUGAAAAUAUGAAUCCUUUUGGCUUGAAAGGUUGUCAGGAACAUGAAGAAACUGAAUCCAUUAUAAACAUAUGUACAUAAACAGAUGAAGAUUUGGAUCCUUUUGGCUUGAAAGAUCAUUGUCAGGAACAUGAAGAAACUGAAUCCAUUAUGAACAUAUGUACACAAAUAGACAAAAUAGCAACAACACUGGUUGAUACAAUUCUAGGUACUGGUGAAGAAGUUAAGUUUUACAAAAUACAGAAGACUUGCAACGGAAAAUCCCGGAAUGAGGUCUUUUACUGAACAGUAUGAGAGAGUCAAGAUGAUUGUUGGAUUUAAACUGCUUGAAAAGUACAACCAAAUGAAGACAAAAAAUGCAUCAACAAACAAAUCAACUAAUGGAACGUUGGGGCAUCAGUACCUAGUUCUGAUUCUAAAAGCAAUUGUUCAAAAUAAAUGGAGAAUGUGACACAGAUGAUGACCCUGCUUGCAUAUAUUAACAUUAUAAAGGGACAAACAGUAAAUUGAUGCAGUUUAAAUUCAAAGCUGAACAGUGUUUUGUGAUGAAGAUUUGGAUCCUUUUGGCUUGAAAGAUCAUUGUCAGGAACAUGAAGAAACUGAAUCCAUUAUGAACAUAUGUACUGAAAUAGACAAAAUAGCAACAACACUGGUUGAUACAAUUCUAGGUACUGGUGAAGAAGUUAAGUUUUACAAAAUACAGAAGACUUGCAACGGAAAAUCCCGGAAUGAGGUCUUUUACUGAACAGUAUGAGAGAGUCAAGAUGAUUGUUGGAUUUAAACUGCUUGAAAAGUACAACCAAAAUGAAGACAAAAAAUGCAUCAACAAACAAAUCAACUAAUGGAACGUUGGGGCAUCAGUACCUAGUUCUGAUUCUAAAAGCAAUUGUUCAAAAUAAAUGGAGAAUGUGACACAGAUGAUGACCCUGCUUGCAUAUAUUAACAUUAUAAAGGGACAAACAGUAAAUUGAUGCAGUUUAAAUUCAAAGCUGAACAGUGUUUUGUGAUGAAGAUUUGGAUCCUUUUGGCUUGAAAGAUCAUUGUCAGGAACAUGAAGAAACUGAAUCCAUUAUGAACAUAUGUACUGAAAUAGACAAAAUAGCAACAACACUGGUUGAUACAAUUCUAGGUACUGGUGAAGAAGUUAAGUUUUACAAAAUACAGAAGACUUGCAACGGAAAAUCCCGGAAUGAGGUCUUUUACUGAACAGUAUGAGAGAGUCAAGAUGAUUGUUGGAUUUAAACUGCUUGAAAAGUACAACCAAAAUGAAGACAAAAAAUGCAUCAACAAACAAAUCAACUAAUGGAACGUUGGGGCAUCAGUACCUAGUUCUGAUUCUAAAAGCAAUUGUUCAAAAUAAAUGGAGAAUGUGACACAGAUGAUGACCCUGCUUGCAUAUAUUAACAUUAUAAAGGGACAAACAGUAAAUUGAUGCAGUUUAAAUUCAAAGCUGAACAGUGUUUUGUGGUAAUUAGCAUUUUAUACAAAAUAACUACACUGGUUGAUACAAUUCUAGGAACAGGUGGAGAAGUUAAAAGUUUUACAAAAUACAGAAGACUUGCAAUGGAAAAUCCAGGAAACAGGUCUUUUACUGAACAGUAUGAGAGAGCCAAGAUGAUUGUUGGAUUUAAAAUGCUUGGAAAAUACAACCAAAUGAAAACAAAAAUGCACUGCAUCAACAAACAAAUCAACUAUUGGAACAUUGGGGCAUCAGUACAUAGUUCUGAUUCUAAAAACAAUUGUUCAAAAUAAAUGGAGAAUGUGUCCAUGGGACACAGAUGAUGCCCUUGCUUGCAUAUAACAUUAUAAAGGGACAAACAGUAAAAUUGACGCCAUUUCAAUUCAAAGCUGAACAGUGUUUUGUGAUGAAAAUAUGAAUCCUUUUGGCUUGAAAGAUUGUCAGGAACAUGAAGAAACUGAAUCCAUUAUAAACAUAUGUACAUAAACAGAUGAAGAUUUGGAUCCUUUUGGCUUGAAAGAUUGUCAGGAACAUGAAGAAACUGAAUCCAUUAUAAACAUAUGUGCACAAACAGACAAAAUAACAACAACACUGGUUGAUACAAUUCUAGGAACUGGUGAAGAAGUUAAGUUUUACAAAAUACAGAAGACUUGCAACGGAAAAUCCCAGAAUGAGGUCUUUUACUGAACAGUAUGAGAGAGUCAAGAUGAUUGUUGGAUUUAAACUGCUUGAAAAAUACAACCAAAUGAAGACAAAAAAUGCAUCAACAAACAAAUCAACUAAUGGAACGUUGGGGCAUCAGUACCUAGUUCUGAUUCUAAAAGCAAUUGUUCAAAAUAAAUGGAGAAUGUGACACAGAUGAUGACCCUGCUUGCAUAUAACAUUAUAAAGGGACAAACAGUAAAUUGAUGCAGUUUAAAUUCAAAGCUGAACAGUGUUUUGUGAUUCCAGGAGCAGGUAAUUUACAUCAUACCAGGCUGUCCCGUGGACGUGUUUAUAUUACAGACCGAUGAAGCCCAGAGGAACAUUACAGACAGAUGGAGCCCAGAGGAACAUACAGUCCUAGACCUGAAGUUGCCAGAUAAUGAUGAUGAAGGUUAUUACAGCAACUGUUUUCAUGGAUGGGGAGUAAAACUGGGUGGUCUAAUACUUUUCAUAAAUUAACAAAAUAACAACACGACUGGUGGAUUCAAUUCUAGGAACCAGUGAAGAAAUUAAAAGUGAAGACUUGCGACGGAAAAUCCAGGAAACAGGUCUUUUACUGAACAGUAUGAGAGAGUCAAGAUGAUUGUUGGAUUUAAACUGCUUGGAAAAUACCACCAAAUGAAGACAAAAAAUGCACUGCAUCAACAAACAAAUCAACUACUGGAAUGUCAGGGCAUCAGUACCUAGUUCUGAUUCUAAAAACAAUUGUUCAAAAUAAAUGGAGAAUGUGACACAGAUGAUGACCCUGCUUGCAUAUAACAUUAUAAAGGGACAAACAGUAAAAUUGAUGCCAUUUAAAUUCAAAGCUGAACAGUGUUUUGUGAUGAAGAUUUGGAUCCUUUUGGCUUGAUAAAUUGUCAGGAACAUGAAGAAACUGAAUCCAUUAUGAACAUAUGUACACAAACAGACAAAAUAACAACAACACUGGUUGAUACAAUUCUAGGAACUGGUGAAGAAGUUAAGUUUUACAAAAUACAGAAGACUUGCAACGGAAAAUCCCUGAAUGAGGUCUUUUACUGAACAGUAUGAGAGAGUCAAGAUGAAUGUUGGAUUUAAACUGCUUGAAAAAUACAACCAAAUGAAGACAAAAAAUGCAUCAACAAACAAAUCAACUAAUGGAACGUUGGGGCAUCAGUACCUAGUUCUGACUCUAAAAGCAAUUGUUCAAAAUAAAUGGAGAAUGUGACACAGAUGAUGACCCUGCUUGCAUAUAUUAACAUUAUAAAGGGACAAACAGUUAAUUGAUGCAGUUUAAAUUCAAAGCUGAACAGUGUUUUGUGAUGAAAAUAUGAAUACUUUUGGCUUGAAAGAUUGUCAGGAACAUGAAGAAACUGAAUCCAUUAUAAACAUAUCUACAUAAACAGAUGAAGAUUUGGAUCCUUUUGGCUUGAAAGAUUGUCAGGAACAUGAAGAAACUGAAUCCAUUAUAAACAUAUGUGCACAAACAGACAAAAUAACAACAACACUGGUUGAUACAAUUCUAGGAACUCGUGAAGAAGUUAAGUUUUACAAAAUACAGAAGACUUGCAACGGAAAAUCCCGGAAUGAGGUCUUUUACUGAACAGUAUGACAGAGUCAAGAUGAUUGUUGGAUUUAAACUGCUUGAAAAAUACAACCAAAUGAAGACAAAAAAUGCAUCAACAAACAAAUCAACUAAUGGAACGUUGGGGCAUCAGUACCUAGUUCUGACUCUAAAAGCAAUUGUUCAAAAUAAAUGGAGAAUGUGACACAGAUGAUGACCCUGCUUGCAUAUAUUAACAUUAUAAAGGGACAAACAGUUAAUUGAUGCAGUUUAAAUUCAAAGCUGAACAGUGUUUUGUGAUGAAAAUAUGAAUACUUUUGGCUUGAAAGAUUGUCAGGAACAUGAAGAAACUGAAUCCAUUAUAAACAUAUCUACAUAAACAGAUGAAGAUUUGGAUCCUUUUGGCUUGAAAGAUUGUCAGGAACAUGAAGAAACUGAAUCCAUUAUAAACAUAUGUGCACAAACAGACAAAAUAACAACAACACUGGUUGAUACAAUUCUAGGAACUGGUGAAGAAGUUAAGUUUUACAAAAUACAGAAGACUUGCAACGGAAAAUCCCGGAAUGAGGUCUUUUACUGAACAGUAUGAGAGAGUCAAGAUGAUUGUUGGAUUUAAACUGCUUGAAAAAUACAACCAAAUGAAGACAAAAAAUGCAUCAACAAACAAAUCAACUAAUGGAACGUUGGGGCAUCAGUACCUAGUUCUGAUUCUAAAAGCAAUUGUUCAAAAUAAAUGGAGAAUGUGACACAGAUGAUGACCCUGCUUGCAUAUAACAUUAUAAAGGGACAAACAGUAAAUUGAUGCAGUUUAAAUUCAAAGCUGAACAGUGUUUUGUGACAAAAUAACAUCAACACUGGUUGAUACAAUUCUAGGAACCGGCGAAGAAGUUAAAAGUUUUACAAAAUACAGAAGACUUGCAACGGAAAAUCCAGGAAACAGGUCUUUUACUGAACAGUAUGAGAGAGCCAAGAUGAUUGUUGGAUUUAAACCGCUUGGAAAAUACAACCAAAUGAAGACAAAAAAUGCAUCAACAAACAAAACAACUAAUGGAACGUUGGGGCAUCAGUACCUAGUUCUGAUUCUAAAAACAUUGUUCAAAAUCUUCUACAAGGUUUAGAAGACUGUACAUACAUGUAUAUAUUUAUAUUUAUAU